rnacentral:rRNA from 1 species
UACGAAGGGGGCUAGCGUUGCUCGGAAUCACUGGGCGUAAAGGGUGCGUAGGCGGGUCUUUAAGUCAGGGGUGAAAUCCUGGAGCUCAACUCCAGAACUGCCUUUGAUACUGAGGAUCUUGAGUCCGGGAGAGGUGAGUGGAAUUCCGAGUGUAGAGGUGAAAUUCGUAGAUAUUCGGAAGAACACCAGUGGCGAAGGCGGCUCACUGGACCGGUAUUGACGCUGAGGUGCGAAAGCGUGGGGAGCAAACAGG